CGGAAGAUGUAACGGGGCUAAACCAUGCACCGAAGCUGCGGCAGCGACACUAUGUGUUGUUGGGUAGGGGAGCGUUCUGUAAGCCUGCGAAGGUGUGCUGUGAGGCAUGCUGGAGGUAUCAGAAGUGCGAAUGCUGACAUAAGUAACGAUAAAGCGGGUGAAAAGCCCGCUCGCCGGAAGACCAAGGGUUCCUGUCCAACGU
rnacentral:rRNA from 1 species